rnacentral:rRNA from 1 species
UACGUAGGUGGCAAGCGUUGUCCGGAUUUACUGGGCGUAAAGAGCGCGCAGGCGGUCGUUCAAGUCGCGUGUGAAAGCCCCCGGCUCAACUGGGGAGGGUCACGCGAUACUGAUCGACUCGAAGGCAGGAGAGGGUAGUGGAAUUCCCGGUGUAGUGGUGAAAUGCGUAGAUAUCGGGAGGAACACCAGUGGCGAAGGCGGCUUCCUGGCCUGUUCUUGACGCUGAGGCGGCGAAAGCGUGGGGAGCAAACA